rnacentral:lncRNA from 1 species
GUUGCACGCUUGUUGUUCAACUGUGAAUGGAGAGUGACCAGUGCUCAUUACUUCAUCAUCACUUUCCCAAUCAUCAUUAUCGUCAUCAUCAGAAUACAGUAACGCGUUGAUUUCCUCAGUGUCUUCGUGCAUUUCCGAGUCUUCUUCGCCAUUUUCAUGAUCUUCAUGUUGCAAUAUCUUUUCUUGAAUGGCAUGAUCUUUACUAAACCCUUUCUCUGGGUGUAGGGCACCGAGAAUGUUCCCUCGCUCUGCAUCCAUAGAAGAAGGAAACCGCAGAGGAAAUCCACAUUGUAACAAACGAGUCUGCUCUCCCGACUGAUCGAAUACUAUAAAUCUUUUCCGAGAAGACUUGAG